GACGAACGCCGUCGGCGUGCUUAACACAUGCAAGUCGAACGGAAAGGCCCUGCUUUUGUGGGGUGCUCGAGUGGCGAACGGGUGAGUAACACGUGAGUAACCUGCCCUUGACUUUGGGAUAACUUCAGGAAACUGGGGCUAAUACCGGAUAGGAGCUCCUGCUGCAUGGUGGGGGUUGGAAAGUUUCGGCGGUUGGGGAUGGACUCGCGGCUUAUCAGCUUGUUGGUGGGGUAGUGGCUUACCAAGGCUUUGACGGGUAGCCGGCCUGAGAGGGUGACCGGCCACAUUGGGACUGAGAUACGGCCCAGACUCCUACGGGAGGCAGCAGUGGGGAAUAUUGCACAAUGGGCGGAAGCCUGAUGCAGCAACGCCGCGUGCGGGAUGACGGCCUUCGGGUUGUAAACCGCUUUCGCCUGUGACGAAGCGUGAGUGACGGUAAUGGGUAAAGAAGCACCGGCUAACUACGUGCCAGCAGCCGCGGUGAUACGUAGGGUGCGAGCGUUGUCCGGAUUUAUUGGGCGUAAAGGGCUCGUAGGUGGUUGAUCGCGUCGGAAGUGUAAUCUUGGGGCUUAACCCUGAGCGUGCUUUCGAUACGGGUUGACUUGAGGAAGGUAGGGGAGAAUGGAAUUCCUGGUGGAGCGGUGGAAUGCGCAGAUAUCAGGAGGAACACCAGUGGCGAAGGCGGUUCUCUGGGCCUUUCCUGACGCUGAGGAGCGAAAGCGUGGGGAGCGAACAGGCUUAGAUACCCUGGUAGUCCACGCUGUAAACGGUGGGUACUAGGUGUGGGGUCCAUUCCACGGGUUCCGUGCCGUAGCUAACGCUUUAAGUACCCCGCCUGGGGAGUACGGCCGCAAGGCUAAAACUCAAAGGAAUUGACGGGGCCCCGCACAAGCGGCGGAGCAUGCGGAUUAAUUCGAUGCAACGCGUAGAACCUUACCUGGGUUUGACAUGGAUCGGGAGUGCUCAGAGAUGGGUGUGCCUCUUUUGGGGUCGGUUCACAGGUGGUGCAUGCCUGUCGUCAGCUCGUGUCGUGAGAUGUUGGGUUAAGUCCCGCAACGAGCGCAACCCUUGUUCACUGUUGCCAGCACGUUAUGGUGGGGACUCAGUGGAGACCGCCGGGGUCAACUCGGAGGAAGGUGGGGAUGACGUCAAGUCAUCAUGCCCCUUAUGUCCAGGGCUUCACGCAUGCUACAAUGGCUGGUACAGAGAGUGGCGAGCCUGUGAGGGUGAGCGAAUCUCGGAAAGCCGGUCUCAGUUCGGAUUGGGGUCUGCAACUCGACCUCAUGAAGUCGGAGUCGCUAGUAAUCGCAGAUCAGCAACGCUGCGGUGAAUACGUUCCCGGG
rnacentral:rRNA from 1 species